GAUGAACGCUGGCGGCGUGCCUAAUACAUGCAAGUCGAGCGAACGGACGAGAAGCUUGCUUCUCUGAUGUUAGCGGCGGACGGGUGAGUAACACGUGGAUAACCUACCUAUAAGACUGGGAUAACUUCGGGAAACCGGAGCUAAUACCGGAUGAUAUUUUGAACCGCAUGGUUCAAAAGUGAAUGACGGUCUUUCUGUCACUUAUAUAUGGAUCCGCGCUGCAUUAGCUAGUUGGUAAGGUAACGGCUUACAAAGGCAACGAUGCAUAGCCGACGUGAGAGGGUGAUCGGCCACACUGGAACUGAGACACGGUCCAGACUCCUACGGGAGGCAGCAGUAGGGAAUCUUCCGCAAAGGGCGAAAGCCUGACGGAGCAACGCCGCGUGAGUGGUGAAGGUCUUCGGAUCGUAAAACUCUGUUAUUAGGGAAGAACAUAUGUGUAAGUAACUGUGCACAUCUUGACGGUACCUAAUCAGAAAGCCACGGCUAACUACGUG
rnacentral:rRNA from 1 species